CCUAACCCUGAAUCUAACCCUAACCCUAACCCUAACAUGUAUCUAAUUUCUGAUUUUGGUUAUUUUUUCAGUUUAAUAGUGUGACACAAUGACCUCUCGACGCGUUUCAAAGCUGCCAGUGAUCCAUUCCGAGAGAAGAACCAAGAGUCGUCACGAUGGGUCGUUAUCCUCUCAGCCCCAGGCUGCUUCGAGUCAGGCUCCGGACUUGACGUUCGGAUAUUUGUUUGAGGAUGACAUACCUUCACACGAGAAGUUCGUGAAGUUUUUCAUGACCCGGAAGAUCUGCGAACCGAAAUCACUGGAUUCGGCAUUCUUCAACCUAGAGCGUUUUGACAUUGUGCUGCUUCUUGAGCAGACACAUUUACUUCACCUAGCGGAGAUGCGGUGCCCAUACUCGGAGGUUAUGGUAAGAGCCUUCUACCAGAACCUUGGCUACUCGCAAGGCGAGCUGACUUCCUGUGUCUGCGGGAUUGAUUUCAUCAUGACUGCUCCUAUCUGGACGGAGCUACUGGGGUUCGAUUUUGAUGGUGUCACAGGAGCAGCACUAUAUGAUGGAGACAGCCAUCAUAUAUUUGGUGAUUAUAACCGGGAUACCAUUGUUACAGAGACUAGGAGGGCAGACGCUGAGCCCGGUCAUUUUGCUCAUUAUCCUGUUAGCAACUUGUCAGUUUCUGCUCGCAUUCUUCAUUAUGUGGUGACACAUAUUAUUUUCCAGCGCCCGCAUAAUCACUCAAAGGUGCUGGAAGGGGACUUUGUCAUUCUGUGGGCCCUCCUUCACAGUCAGCAGGUGAACUGGAGGCAUUACAUAUGCAUACUGAUGUGGAAGGCAGCCAAGUCAAAGAAGGCUGAAUUGCCUUUUGCAUUUCUGGUGUAGAAGAUUCUGCAUAGAUUUGGAGUGCCUAUGGCAACAGAGACCUUGAAGACCGCCAGAGGCUGGAAUGCUAUAUUUGGUGAGAGGCUCCUGAAGCAGUGUGGGAUCCUACCGAACAGAGCGGGUAUCUGGACGUGGAAGAAGGCACCAAAACCACCUGAGAUCCCAUUCCACCACGAUGCUGAGAUGGAGGAUGCACCUGCAGGCCUUGAUGAUGAUGACAAUGAUGAUGGCGUUGCUGAGGUUGAUGUCAGACCGACACGUCCCACCCGCAGUCGGCGACCACCAGCUCCUCCUGAGGGUGGAUGGACACUUGAUCAUGUCAUGGCAUCCAUAUUUGAUUUGACUACUGACUUUAGAGGAUAUAGACAGAGCACGAGCAAGUGGCGGAACCAGAUGGACACAAGGGUUGCACGGUUGGACACAAGGGUUUCACGCUUGGAGGGUUUAAUUGGCGAGGGUGCCCAUACUCAGGAGGAGGAGGAGGAGGAUGAUGACAAUGGGGAUGACACACAAUCGGAUGAAGAGAAUGGGGAGGACACGCCAUCGGAUUAGUGUGUCCAUAGGGUUUCAUAUCAUUGAUUUAGUUUGAUGUA